GCGGAUGUGGCGAAAUUGGUAGACGCGCCAGACUUAGGAUCUGGUGUCUUAGACUUAUGGGUUCGAGUCCCUUCAUCCGCACCA
rnacentral:tRNA from 1 species